rnacentral:rRNA from 1 species
AGAGUUUGAUCCUGGCUCAGGAUGAACGCUGGCGGCGUGCCUAACACAUGCAAGUCGAACGGGGCGCGCAGGCUGAGGCUUUUCGGAGCGGAAGCCUGCGCUGCCCAGUGGCGGACGGGUGAGUAACGCGUGGGCAACCUGCCCUGCACUGGGGGACAACAGCCGGAAACGGCUGCUAAUACCGCAUAUGCCCGCAGCCCCGCAUGGGGCGGCGGGGGAAGCUCCGGCGGUGCAGGAUGGGCCCGCGUCUGAUUAGCUGGUUGGCGGGGCAACGGCCCACCAAGGCGACGAUCAGUAGCCGGCCUGAGAGGGUGGGCGGCCACAUUGGGACUGAGACACGGCCCAGACUCCUACGGGAGGCAGCAGUGGGGGAUAUUGCACAAUGGGGGGAACCCUGAUGCAGCGACGCCGCGUGGGCGAUGGAGUACUUCGGUAUGUAAAGCCCUAUCAGCAGGGAAGAAAAUGACGGUACCUGACUAAGAAGCCCCGGCUAAAUACGUGCCAGCAGCCGCGGUAAUACGUAUGGGGCAAGCGUUAUCCGGAUUUACUGGGUGUAAAGGGAGCGUAGGCGGCCUGGCAAGCCUGAUGUGAAAUACCGGGGCCCAACCCCGGGGCUGCAUUGGGAACUGCCAGGCUGGAGUGCCGGAGAGGCAGGCGGAAUUCCUAGUGUAGCGGUGAAAUGCGUAGAUAUUAGGAGGAACACCAGUGGCGAAGGCGGCCUGCUGGACGGUGACUGACGCUGAGGCUCGAAAGCAUGGGUAGCGAACAGGAUUAGAUACCCUGGCAGUCCAUGCCGUAAACGAUGAGUGCUAGGUGUUGGAGGGUUUCCGCCCUUCAGUGCCGGAGCUAACGCAUUAAGCACUCCGCCUGGGGAGUACGACCGCAAGGUUGAAACUCAAAGGAAUUGACGGGGGCCCGCACAAGCGGUGGAGCAUGUGGUUUAAUUCGAAGCUACGCGAAGAACCUUACCAGGUCUUGACAUCUUGCGCUAACCUUAGAGAUAAGGCGUUCCCUUCGGGGACGCAAUGACAGGUGGUGCAUGGUCGUCGUCAGCUCGUGUCGUGAGAUGUUGGGUUAAGUCCCGCAACGAGCGCAACCCUUGUUACUAGUUGCCAGCAUUAAGUUGGGCACUCUAGUGAGACUGCCGGUGACAAACCGGAGGAAGGUGGGGACAACGUCAGAUCAUCAUGCCCCUUAUGACCUGGGCUACACACGUGCUACAAUGGACGGUACAACGAGUCGCAAGCUCGCGAGAGUAAGCUAAUCUCUUAAAGCCGUUCUCAGUUCGGACUGUAGGCUGCAACUCGCCUACACGAAGUCGGAAUCGCUAGUAAUCGCGGAUCAGCAUGCCGCGGUGAAUACGUUCCCGGGCCUUGCACUAAAGGCCCGUCA